GGCUCUGUGGUUUAGUGGUAUGGCAUUCGCUUAGCAUUCUUUCAAUUAGUCUGCCUGCGAAGGGUCCGACGUUCAAUUCGCCGCUUGUCUA